AGUGCUCUCUCUGCAGGUGUCUGAAGGCCAGGAUGGUCUCCCCAUGGCAGCUCCUCUGGCUGCUGGUGCUCUGGGCUCAGGAUUCCCAAGGAGCCAUUGUGCUGACCCAGUCUCCAGCCUCCUUGUCUGGAUCUCUAAGAGAGAGAGUCACCAUCAGCUGCAAGGCCAGUGAGAAUGUAUAUAACUACCUUCACUGGUACCAGCAGAAACCUGGCCAAGCCCCCAGGCUCCUCAUCUCCUAUGCUAACAGCCUGGCAUCUGGAGUCCCUGCCCGCUUCAGUGGCAGUGGGUCUGGGACAGAUUAUGCUCUCACCAUCAGCAGCUUGGAGCCCGAGGAUACUGGAGAUUAUUACUGUGGGCAGAGUAUUCACUCACCUCCGGAGGUGCUUCAGGCCUGA